UACGAAGGGGGCUAGCGUUGCUCGGAAUUACUGGGCGUAAAGCGCACGUAGGCGGCUUUCUAAGUCGGAGGUGAAAUCCUGGAGCUCAACUCCAGAACUGCCUUCGAUACUGGAGAGCUUGAGUCCGGGAGAGGUGGGUGGAACUGCGAGUGUAGAGGUGAAAUUCGUAGAUAUUCGCAAGAACACCAGUGGCGAAGGCGGCUCACUGGCCCGGUACUGACGCUGAGGUGCGAAAGCGUGGGAGCAAACAGG
rnacentral:rRNA from 1 species